ACUCCAAGGGUUGGUAGUUAUCCCAACAAACAGCUUGCCCACCCAAAAGCUCAUUCAAGUGAAACAUGAAUGCAUACACUUUCUAAGCACACUGGGACAUUGCAUCUGUUUGCCAAUAUGAUUAGGUUGUUCAAUUGAUGUUCAAGCAAGUGAUAUUUCAUUGUAUUUGACCGUCAUGUUUAGCCAGGUACUACACUCACUGGUUGUGUGACCAAAAUGUGUUUUUGGAACCACUUUAUUGCAGGUGGUAAUAGCAGGCAAAACUAUAUUAGUGCAUCAUGUAGUAGGUCGGAAGCCAUUUUUGCCUAGCAUUUUUUUUUAUUGUGUUCAGAACUAUGGGUUCAGUCAGUUUAUUGCAUAUUUUUGUCAGACAGGGCUAAUAAUUUUAAGAGAAUGCAUAUCAUUUACUUUUUAUAGCGAACAUUUACCUCAAGUUUUGCAUUUCCAUGAUCAGUGCUGUAACCAGAAGCUUUAUUCAGUCAAAAGAUUUGUUCAGCCUGCUAAUAACCUGUUUCAAUUUCUCAAGAGGGUGUUACAAAAUUUUAAGAAGAGCUAUGCCACCGAAACAAACUUUAUGGCUAUGCCUGCGGCCAUGAUCAUGUACAGAAAACAGAAGUGCUGAGUUGCAUGUUUUCAGGCACGGCAUUGCAAUUAGACUGGUACAUAAAGCAGCUUUAAUACUCGAUUUGUUGCAGGAAACUUAAGGAGUACUGACAUGGCAACUUUUAUAUCAUUUUUUUUUUGUCUUAACUGAAGGUUCAAAUCCUCUAAACCUUGGCAAAAAUAAUGGCAAGUACCAGAGUGGCCUGACCAGAGUGUCCUGACUAAUUUAACGCAAUACUUGUUUCUGUGAAGCAGUUUCAGUUUUGAUACUGAGGAGGUGGAUGCGUCAUGAUAUCAUGACACACCGACUUGCUUCGUUCCCGUGAUCGCUACAGCUGCAAAAUGUGAGCAGAGCCUGGAGGAACACACACAGCACUCUUCUGUUUAGAUCGGCAACGCCAUCAUAUUUAACUUUAUUGAUACACAACGUUAGCAAAUUUGCCAUGACGUCAUGUUGAUGUCAGGUCUGCCAUUGCGAGAUGACUGUGGCUUCAAGUUAAAAUGUAUCUUCAACCUUUGUACUUGCUAAAUGUGGUCAUAUUGUGCAAGAGAAAUGUGUGGUUGGGUAUAUACAACUUUGAAAAUAUGUCAGUACUCCUUUAAGCUUUCAUAUAUUUCUCUACUGAGGGGAAAUGUGAAGCUGGUAUGUUACUUAUCUGGAAUUGCACAAAGCUCAAUUGCACAAGUUUUACCAUGGAUGGAGACUUUGUUAGCCAAAAAUGGGUGGAAAAAAAAAAAAAGGCUGGUGGCGCCAUCUUGAAAUUCUCACAAAAGCUGCCUGUGACAUCAUAAAGUUUGCCAGCAUAUCUUCACUGCUCAUUAACUCGAAAUCAAUAAACAAAUUUCAAUUCCGAUGGGGGGCCCAAUGCAAAAGCAUUCAUGCACUAAAAUUUGGGUGCUAAAUAAGGAACCCUAGAGGCUCAAAUUUUUUUUACUUUAGCUUUUUUGUAUCGAUUUCGCAGUUAAUUUGUUUUCACCUUAACACCUUUACUGCUGUGAUCAAUCUCGAAAAAAAUUUUAAAGUUAAAAAGAAACAGUGAAAGUCAUUGUGUAUUAUUUUCUUGUCGAAAUUACAAGAAACUGAACACGUACACAUGUGCAAAAAUUGCCAAAAAUUCACGAGUUAACGUAUCAUCGGCACCAGAGGAUACUCAUUGUGAUGGUAGUUUAUUUCGUCAGUGGCAGUUAAGGGGUUAAGGGCCCAAAGGCAUUGAACAAUGGAGGGCCCAAUUACGUGUGAAAGUAGUAACUGUAAAAACUUGGUAAAAAAUCAUGAUUAAAAAAAAAACACUGUGAAGUGCCUAUAGUCGUAAAUACCAAGCACAAUGGUGUUCCCAGCAUUGAAAACACAUUGCAUAGAGGAAAUACAAAAGGCACAAAAGUAAGGGUAACGAAGAAAAAUGUGUAGUAUAGGUUGGUGCUUCAACUGCAAUGGCAAACAAACAACACAAGGCAUGUUCUAAUGGGGAAUACAUAA
rnacentral:lncRNA from 1 species